UACAGAGGGUGCGAGCGUUAAUCGGAAUUACUGGGCGUAAAACGCGCGUAGGCGGCUUUGCAAGUCGGGUGUGAAAUCCCCAGGCUUAACCUGGGAACUGCAUUCGAGACUGCAUUGCUAGAGUAUGGGAGAGGGAAGUGGAAUUUCCGGUGUAGCGGUGAAAUGCGUAGAUAUCGGAAGGAACAUCAGUGGCGAAAGCGACUUCCUGGACCAAUACUGACGCUCAUGUGCGAAAGCGUGGGGAGCAAACAGG
rnacentral:rRNA from 1 species